UUUUAAUUGAAAGCUAGAAUGAAUGGCUUGACGAAAACAUAACUGUCUCUUUUACAUUAACUAAAAAUUAAUUUUCAGGUGAAGAAGCCUGAAUAUACUCAAAAGACGAAAAGACCCUAUCGAGCUUAAAAAUAUUUUUAAUCUAUUUUAUCUUAGCUAAAUAAAAAUUAAAAACAAUUUUUUGUUGGGGCGACAGAAGAACAAAUAAAGCUUCUUUUAAUUAAACAAAUUGAUAAAUUUUAAAGACCCAGCAAUACUGAUUAAAAGAAAAGUUACCGUAGGGAUAACAGCGUAAUUUCUUUGGAGAGCUCAAAUUGAAAAAGAAGUUUGCGACCUCGAUGUUGGAUUAAAAAAUCUUCUUGGUGCAGAAGCCAAGACAGAAGGUCUGUUCGACCUUUAAACUUUUACAUGAUCUGAGUUCAAACCGGCGCAAGCCAGGUUGGUUUCUAUCUUUGAGGCAAGCACUUAUAUUUCAGUACGAAAGGACCAAGUAUAAUAAAUAAUUUAAUCUAAAUAUAUUAGGUUAGAGAAAAGUUAGCCCCAAAUCAAAUUGACAAAACAGCAAAAUGAAUAAUAGUGAAAAACGGAUUUAAUUUAAAAAAGUCUUAUGAGAGACAUAGUAGCAAAAUUUUUAAUAGUACAGCUUAAAACCGGUACCUCUUGCAUUAUGGCUUAACAAGAUUUUUAAGGAAAUUCCGGUUUCUAGAAAGAAAAAGAGCUAUAUGUGAACAAAAACGUGUGACACAACUUGAAUUGAUUUACCUAUAGAAGUGAAAAACUUGCCGAUUUUUCUGAUAGCUAGUUGAGAGAAAAAAGUGUAUAAGCACUGGUCAAAAUAAGAUUUACCUCAAAACUUAAGAAAAAUUUUAUUUUGAUCACAAUUUUUCAAGGACAAGCUUGAAAAACAAAAGUAUCUAAAUUAACAAAAAACAUAUAUAGGCUUAAAAGUUGCCAUUAUAUUUAUUGUUUUCUAACUUUUCUAUAAAUAUUUUAAAUCGAUUCUUUAAAACAUCUCUCUAAGUCAUUAAACCAUAAAUUUGACAGAAUUUAUGUUAAGAUGAGUAUUUUACAAAAUAAAGUUUAAGAUUACAUUAAACCUAAAACUCUAUAUCAAAAAUAAAUAUAAAUGUAAAAAAGGAACUCGGCAAAUAUAUGUUUCGCCUGUUUAUCAAAAACAUCGCUCUUUGCUUCUAAAAAUAAAGAGUCGUGCCUGCCCAGUGAUAAUUUUAAACGGCCGCAGUACCCUGACUGUGCUAAGGUAGCAUAAUCACUUGCU
rnacentral:rRNA from 1 species